CGCUGGCGGCACGCCUAAUACAUGCAAGUCGAACGGAGUAGCAAUACUUAGUGGCAGACGGGUGAGUAACAUGUGGGUAUCUUCCCUUUGGUGAGGAAUAACACGAGGAAACUUGUGCUAAUACCUCAUAAGUCUUUACGGAGAAAGCUUUAUGCGCCAUUGGAUGAGCCCGCACUUGAUUAGUUUGUUGGUGGGGUAAUGGCCUACCAAGACUUUGAUCAAUAGCUGAUUUGAGAGGAUGAUCAGCCACAUUGGGACUGAGACACGGCCCAAACUCCUACGGGAGGCAGCAGUAGGGAAUCUUGCACAAUGGGGGAAACCCUGAUGCAGCGAUGCCGCGUGAGUGAAGAAGGCCUUUGGGUUGUAAAGCUCUUUCGUCGGGGAAGAAAAUGACUGUACCCGAAUAAGAAGGUCCGGCUAACUUCGUGCCAGCAGCCGCGGUAAUACGAAGGGACCUAGCGUAGUUCGGAAUUACUGGGCUUAAAGAGUUCGUAGGUGGUUAAAAAAGUUGGUGGUGAAAUCCCAGAGCUUAACUCUGGAACUGCCAUCAAAACUUUUUAGCUAGAGUAUGAUAGAGGAAAGCAGAAUUUCUAGUGUAGAGGUGAAAUUCGUAGAUAUUAGAAAGAAUACCAAUUGCGAAGGCAGCUUUCUGGAUCAUUACUGACACUGAGGAACGAAAGCAUGGGUAGCGAAGAGGAUUAGAUACCCUCGUAGUCCAUGCCGUAAACGAUGUGUGUUCGACGUUGGAAAUUUAUUUUUCAGUGUCUCAGCGAAAGCAAUAAACACACCGCCUGGGGAGUACG
rnacentral:rRNA from 1 species